rnacentral:sRNA from 1 species
ACAAAAAUCUUCUAUACAUGCAUGUGCAUCUGUAAACCACUGUAGCCGUAACAAAUGAUCAAAGAUCAUAAACAGACAUAAGUUGAUGCAGAUGUGUAGAUACCAUUUGGUCUUUAACUAGUUUCGUUUUUAAGACCAGACGCUCUGCUGUCUCUGUAAAUGUCUGAAAAGCAUAAAGCUGAUUUUCAAAGAAAUCUGCUGUGACUUUCACAUUUUGUCCAGAACAUUUUUGAGAAUACUGCAUACCCUUACCCACAAGUACUCUAUGUGAGGUAUAAGCCUUCUGGGCCAGGGGCCAACUGGAGUAUAUAACAGCAAAGGUAUAGACAAACUACAGAUUAUGACCUUGACAGAUAUUGUUCAAGUUCAUUAUACUCUCUUUAUCCAAAGACACUCUGUGGUUGAAGUAUUAGCCAGAUUGGGUCAACUGGAAAGAAAAUAAGCCCAGACAAAUGACGUUGGAACAGACUGAUAACUAUAGAGCAAGGCCACAGUUGAAUUUUUGGUCCUCAUCAUUGUUAACACCACCCCUCAGUUCUUCAAAGUACCUAACAAUUUUGACUAAAGUUGUGUAUUCCUUACAAAAUGCUUAUUAAAUGUAGUAACC